rnacentral:tRNA from 2 species
CCCUGGUUAGCUCAGUUGGUAGAGCGCUCCACUGGAAACGGGCAGGUCCUGGGUUCGAUAUACCCGGACCAGGCG